GUUCCGGUAGCUCAGUUGGUAGAGCACCAUCCUCUUAAGUUGGGGGCCCUCGGUUCGAUUCCGAGUCGGAACAC
rnacentral:tRNA from 1 species